CUAAAGAUGGCGACCGGCGCACGGGUGAGUAACACGUAUCCGACCUGCCGAUAACUCGGGGAUAGCCUUUCGAAAGAAAGAUUAAUACCCGAUGGCAUAAUUAGACCGCAUGGUCUUAUUAUUAAAGAAUUUCGGUUAUCGAUGGGGAUGCGUUCCAUUAGGCAGUUGGUGAGGUAACGGCUCACCAAACCUUCGAUGGAUAGGGGUUCUGAGAGGAAGGUCCCCCACAUUGGAACUGAGACACGGUCCAA
rnacentral:rRNA from 1 species